AUGGCAGGAUCUAGAUUGAGUGUUCAUGGUGAAAACCAUGGGGAAGAAGAUGCCCCGGUCACACGUGCCGAGCUGCAGCGACUUGAGAACAACUUACUCCAAGCCAUGCAAAGGAUGCUUCACAAGCGUCCUCCAGCAGGUGCUGAUAGGGUUCGACACCGACAACACCCUAUUGAUCCACUUGAGGAAGUUGGCGAUGAGAAUUCCGUGCACGCUACUAUGGAUGGUGCCUUGGAGGAUGAUAACAACAACUAUGGUGGACAUGUGGCUGCUGCUCGUGGGCGUGGUGCCGCUGCUCAUGGAGGGCAGCGAGGAGGACAACUUCGAGGGUGA
rnacentral:rRNA from 1 species